GCGCCCGUAGCUCAGUUGGAUAGAGCGCCGGCCUUCGAAGCCGUAGGUCGUAGGUUCGAGCCCUACCGGGCGCGCCA
rnacentral:tRNA from 1 species